AUGAUUUACCUUGUUCUCUCUUUGAACAGACAACUGAAUCGCAUUUAUUGGAAAAAAAGUUGGACGUCCCUGCAACCAGUGCCAUUAGGAUCUCUUCCUCUCUGGCUGGUGAAACGUCUGGCACAGAAACUGGACCCUGCGUAUUCUGAUCAUCUCAGCACCUACCAGAAGGUGGCGAUGCAGCUGGGAGUACAGUCUGAUGUUUUGAAUGAACUACAUGGUUUUGAGCAGCUUUUUCAUUUCCUGUCGUCCACUACGCUGCUGACUGUUUCAGAUUUACUACAGGCUCUCAGAAACACCCAGAGAGUCGACGCCCUGCUGCUGGUUAGCAAAUAUGCUAAAAACAUUACUGCGGUUAAUGAUUUUAGCAGUGAUGCUAGAAUCAGCAGGAACAGCACGAUACAUAAUGCAAAUAGAGCAAAUACAGCCCUUAGCAUACAGAUAGAUAGCAGUUCAAAUGGCUGAGAAAUGUUGUAUUAUUAAGAAAGCUGCUAUCACAAAUUCGUAAAUGAACUGUGAUUGUGGUAUCUGUCGUUCUGACUGACACCAGGCUGAAUACGCUACCGGGUGUAAUCACAGCUGACAUCAUUUCGGUAUUACAAACUUAAGCUGUGCAUCAACAGCUCCUGAGGCCUGCUAAUCACAGCAUGGAGGUGUGGUUUUAACAAGAAAAAAUAAUCACUCAUUAGCGCCUUAUACGCUAAUUUGUUCAGCUGCAGGAAUGUUAAAAAAAGAUUUCUCAUUAUUAUCUUUGUGUUUUAAGUAAAAUGAGUGGAAAUGCGUUUUAGCAGACAGUCCAGGCCAGACAUAGCAGGCGGUGUCCUAUUUCAGGUAAAUCUGUUCCUACCUGUUUAGGAAUUUAGGUCAGAAUUAAAGAUUGAUGCUAAUGUUUAACUUUAGCGCUAGCAUUCCUAACAUAAACACUAGUAGGGUGUGAGACAUGGCUUUGCAAACCACACUUUGGGAGUUUGGGAGAAAAUAAAUAUUUGAACGCUCUUUGCUUUAAUUACUUC
rnacentral:lncRNA from 1 species